AUUAAAAUAGUUUAAUAAAAAUAUUAAUUUUGUAAAUUAAUGAUGUUAAGUAACUUUUAGUU
rnacentral:tRNA from 1 species